GAGCGAGACCCACGCCCACAGUUGCCAGCGUACUCUCUGGAGUGACGGGUACACUGUGGGGACGCCGCUGCUAAAGCGAGGAAGGAAUGGGCAACGGUAGGUCCAGUAUGCCCCGAAUAUCCCGGGCUACACGCGAGCUACAAUGGUUGGUACAAUGGGUAUCUACCCCGAAAGGGGACGGGAAUCUCCUAAACCCAAUCUUAGUUCGGAUUGAGGGCUGCAACUCGCCCUCAUGAAGCUGGAAUCCGUAGUAAUCGCGUUUCAGCAGAACGCGGUGAAUACGUCCCUGCUCCUU
rnacentral:rRNA from 1 species